UACGAAGGGGGCUAGCGUUGCUCGGAAUCACUGGGCGUAAAGGGUGCGUAGGCGGGUCUUUAAGUCAGGGGUGAAAUCCUGGAGCUCAACUCCAGAACUGCCUUUGAUACUGAAGAUCUUGAGUUCGGGAGAGGUGAGUGGAAUUCCGAGUGUAGAGGUGAAAUUCGUAGAUAUCAGGAGGAACACCGGUGGCGAAGGCGACUCCCUGGACACCAACUGACGCUGAGACGCGAAAGCGUGGGGAGCAAACAGG
rnacentral:rRNA from 1 species